UAUCUAGGUGGAUUCAAAAAACGAAGGACGAAAAUCUAGAGAAGACUUUUAGAGGAGUUCCUUUCAGAUUAAGGAUCUGUGAGUUAAUUGGACUUUUUGAAAAUCUUCGGUGUAAGGGUAAAAUCUUGCAAUAUCGGACAGAAAACCCUAGCAAAGGCACUUUUUGAUGGUUAACUGACACUGACGUACGAAAGUCUGGGUAGCAAACGGGAUUAGACACCCCGGUAGUCCAGACAGUAAACGAUGCUCAUUAGUAAUGGUGUUUUAAGACAUGUGAUGGCGAUAGCUAACGCGUUAAAUGAGCCGCCUGGGGUAUACUAUCGCAAGGUUGAA
rnacentral:rRNA from 1 species